rnacentral:rRNA from 1 species
CUUACACAUGCAAGUCGAACGGUAACAGGUCUUCGGACGCUGACGAGUGGCGAACGGGUGAGUAAUACAUCGGAACGUGCCCAGUCGUGGGGGAUAACUACUCGAAAGAGUAGCUAAUACCGCAUACGAUCUGAGGAUGAAAGCGGGGGGCCUUCGGGCCUCGCGCGAUUGGAGCGGCCGAUGGCAGAUUAGGUAGUUGGUGGGAUAAAAGCUUACCAAGCCGACGAUCUGUAGCUGGUCUGAGAGGACGACCAGCCACACUGGGACUGAGACACGGCCCAGACUCCUACGGGAGGCAGCAGUGGGGAAUUUUGGACAAUGGGCGAAAGCCUGAUCCAGCAAUGCCGCGUGCAGGAUGAAGGCCUUCGGGUUGUAAACUGCUUUUGUACGGAACGAAAAAGCUUCUCCUAAUACGAGAGGCCCAUGACGGUACCGUAAGAAUAAGCACCGGCUAACUACGUGCCAGCAGCCGCGGUAAUACGUAGGGUGCGAGCGUUAAUCGGAAUUACUGGGCGUAAAGCGUGCGCAGGCGGUUAUGUAAGACAGAUGUGAAAUCCCCGGGCUCAACCUGGGAACUGCAUUUGUGACUGCAUGGCUAGAGUACGGUAGAGGGGGAUGGAAUUCCGCGUGUAGCAGUGAAAUGCGUAGAUAUGCGGAGGAACACC